rnacentral:rRNA from 1 species
CCUACGGGCGGCAGCAGAGAGGAAUAUUGGUCAAUGGACGGAAGUCUGAACCAGCCAUGCCGCGUGCAGGAAGACGGCUCUAUGAGUUGUAAACUGCUUUUGAACAAGGGUAAACCUGAAUACGUGUAUUCAGCUGAGAUUACUGUACGAAUAAGGAUAGGCUAACUCCGUGCCAGCAGCCGCGGUAAUACGGAGGAUACAAGCGUUACGCGGAUUUAUUGGGUUUAAAGGGUGCGUAGGCGGAUUGGUAAGUUAGAGGUGAAAUGCACGAGCUUAACUCGGGAACUGCCUCUAAUACUGUUGAUCUAGAGAGUAGCAGCGGUAGGCGGAAUGUAUGGUGUAGCAGUGAAAUGCUUAGAGAUCAUACAGAACACCGAUUGCGAAGGCAGCUUACCAAUCUAUAACUGACGUUGAGGCACGAAAGCGUGGGGAGCAAACAGGAUUAGAUACCCCAGUAGUC